rnacentral:tRNA from 1 species
GUAUACGUAAUUUAAAAAAAAUACCAAGCUGUGACCUUGACAUUAGGAGCCAUCCUCAUAUACCC